UCCAAAGUCCACUGAAGAGGUCACUCCUCC
rnacentral:piRNA from 1 species